rnacentral:lncRNA from 1 species
CUCAGGUCAAAAGAUUACUUUGCAUUAUCCCAACCAUGAGUUCUCAUGUGACAUGAGUAUGAGCACUCUUUGUUGAUCGCGUUUAGUGGACUCAAUCUCUAUUGAGCACCUACGUACUUGUCUUGGUGUCAGUCACACCAAUGACUCGAGACCAGUCACUCUCCCUAAGAGAAGACAUAACACGUACUUAUCUUAACGGAUUGUCAAUGCCUAAUUCGCAAUCCUAUGAUCAGGAACAUUUAGGAUAUGUAUACGAAAGAGAAUGGUCUCAUGAAUCUAACUUCUUUAGAUCACAUUCUCCCAAUUACAUAUUCCUUGGACUUAUCAUUUAAGCAUAUAAUAUUUAUAUGAGAUGGCUUCAAACAAUAAUCUUUGCCCUUUAUAUUAAACUAGAUUAGUUUAACAUGUGAAAUGUCCGUAAAUUAUAUGAUAUGGCGAUUCCCUUGACUCGUCAGCAAUACCAUAGAAACCCCCCUUGUCAUCCCAUUUUCAAUGCCAGUGCAAUUCAUUAGUGCCAGGUAAGGCUUUAGGGUAGGAGUGUGGUGGAAAAAGAAGAGUGGAGACCGAUGAAACUUACAGAGUUCGUAAAUCCUCCCCAUACUUAUUUUCUCUAGUCACAGAUAACUUGGUUUCCCAUAUGCAACCCCUUGAAUGACCCAGUCCUCAACAUCUAUAGUAAAAGUCCCUCAGACCCUCAUAGCGGAGGUGAACAGUUAAUGUGCUAUUCUUUGGUGAAGGUAUCGUGGUCAAAGGACAUUAACAUCAACCCUCAUUCUUAUAAACCCACGGCCUCAGCUGGGUCCUCCACCUCAAGAACAACACCGAUUUUUCCACCUAGCCACAACGUGUCUUUCACUAUGCAUAGAUAGUGAGGGAUACCAUGAGCUUGAACCCAAAAAACAGCUAUGUUAGCCUUUAGGUGGUCCAGGGAGUGGAAUUUGGGCCAUUACUUAUUUGAGAAGGUGUAGCCUGAAAGAAAUUUUGUGAAAAACAUGUUCAUUUGAGCAACAUCUAUGGCAUGCAAUUAACAAUUAAAGGCGAAAUCAUGCUUGUAUGCACUCAAAACAAAACAUUACCCAUGAAAUUCAAAGCCUAGUAGUUAUGUGAACCAAGACUCAACUCAAGAACAAAGUGAGUUGAGAAAUUUUAUACCUUUGCUGAUUCCUCUUUGCAUACGCAAGGGCUAAUCACCUAAGGAGAGGGCCUUCAUUCCUUAAUUCUUAACUCCAUGGAUUUCUUGGAUAAGGAUGGUUGAAAGGAUUCUCCAAGUUCCCAAAGUUGAGAACCGCUAAGUCUCCACACCAAGGUAGGACUUUAAGAAGAGAUGAGUGACCUAGAGGAAGUAGGAUUGCUAGCUAAAAUCCUCUAGGGUGGCUGGCCUCUUAGAGAGAAAAGGGAGCUUUUGUUCUCAUCUUUUCUCCAAAAGAAACCCUAAGGAUGAAAUGGUUAUAAAGUUGCCUUUAUACCACCUCAUAAUGGAGUGGCAAACUUGCAAUUAAACCACAUUCACUACCCCUCUCUAUAUGGCCGGCCAUUAAGGGUUCAUUGGGCUUUCAUGCCCUUUGUGAUUUCAAGUUGUCAUACAACUUGAGUUAAUGGGCUUGACAUUCAAUUCCCAUUGGGCCUUGCGGCCCAAAACUAACUCGAGGUUUAUAACGAGCUUAUUUGUUUGAUUAAUUAACAUAUUAUUUAAUCCUAGCCAUAAAUAAUUAAACCAUUUAAUUAUCCUUACUCAUCUCUGUUGUUUCUUCAAUCUCUACCUUACACGGUGUACGAUCUAUUAGGUUCCUUUUAGCGAGGCAAUGGGCGAUUAAAACUCCUUCAAAUAAAUUAUGAAUUGAAACUUACUUUCAAUUCUCCCUUUAGUGAUUAUACAUGUUUAGGGCUUCCACAAACCAUGAGUGACACCUAGCAGUAUGUCAUGGUUACCCAAGCUAAUCAGAAGAGGUGGAGAACCUAUUCAGUUUAGGAUUACAAUGCAAUACGGUCUUUCUCUAAUACAAUACUCUUGGCCACAUUGUUUGGUUUGAUAGUUUAUUCAUGUCUAUUAUCCAAUGUGAUUCAUUUACUUAUAUGAUUACAUUGAAUGUGAUUUGGAACAACUUCCUAAAUCUCAUUCAUACUCUGGCCAGAGAUUCUUAAUCAUAUCAUAGAGUAUUCUCCCUCAAACAGUUUGAAUGUUAGAGAUCCCUUGUUGCACAUUCACUUGCCUUCAUAGCUAAGUGGCUUAACCCCAACUAUGCCGUAGACACCCUCGGAUGGAGUGACUUUGACAUAGUCAAAGAUCAAGGAUCUAACCAAAAGACAAUUAUGAUGCCUCAGGUUAAAGGACUACUUUGCAUUAUCCCAACCAUGAGUUCUCAUGUGACAUAAGUAUGAGAACUCCUUGGUGAUCUCAUUCAGUGAACUCAUUCUCUAUUGAGCACCUACGUACUUGUCUUGGUGUCAGUCACACCAAAGACUCGAGACUAGUCACUAUCCCUAAGAGAAGACAUAACACGUACUGAUCUUAACGGACUGUCAAUGCCCAAUCAGCAAUCCUAUGAUCAUGAACGUUUAGGAUAUGUAUAUGAAAGAGAAUGUCUCAUGAAUCUAACUUCUUUAGAUUGCAUUCUCCCAAUUACAUAUUCCUUGGACUUAUCGUUUAAGCGUAUAACAUUUAUAUGAGCUGGCUUCAAACAAUAAUCUUUGCCUUUUAAAUUAAACUAUAUUAGUUUAACAUGUGAAAUGUCCGUAAAGUAUCAUCGUAUGAUUGGUUUUGGGCACAUUUCCAACAGACACUAAUGGGGCGAUAGCUGAAGCCAAGGAAUAAAGGUUUCAUCAAGAUCUGAACUCAAAUGAGAGACUAAACCACAUCAUUAAGAAUCAUGUAUAAAGUUGACAUCGUUAUUCUCAAGGUUACGUCUAUGGAUAACAUAUAGAUAUCUAUUGUCUAGGCCUACUACUCAGCCAUUUUUGAAAUGAAUUCAUAAGAAGUAUCAUCACUGAUGCCCAAGCUGAUUGGCUAUAGUGCAAGUGGGAGAUUGUUGGAAAUGUGCCUUAAAUCCAAUCAUAUGAUGAUAAUUUACAAACAUUUCACAUGUUAAAUUAAUCUAGUUUAAUAUAAAGUGCAAAGAUUAUUGUUCAAAGCCGUCUCAUAUAAAUGUUAUAUGCUUAAACGAUAAGUCCAAGGAAUAUGUAAUUGGGAGAAUGUGAUCCAAAGAAGUUAGAUUCAUGAGACCAUUCUCUUUUGUAUAUAUACCCUAAAUGUUCAUGAUCAUUGGGUUCCUAAUUAGGCAUUGACAGUCUGUUAAGAUCAGUAUGUGCUAUGUCUUCUCUUAGGAAGAGUGAAUGGUCUCGAGUCAUUGGUGUGACUAACAUCAAGACAAGCAUGUAAGUGCUCAAUGGAGAAUGAGUCCACUGAACGCAAUUAACAAAAAGUUCUCACACUCAUGUCACAUGAAAACUCAUGGUUGAGAUAAUGCAAAUUAGUCAUUUAACCUGACGCAUCAUAGGUGUCUUGUGGUUAGGUCCUUAAUCUUUGACUAUAUCAAAGUCACUCUAUCAGAGGGUGUCCACGACAUAGUUAGGGUUAAGCCACUUAGCCAUGGAGGCAACUGAAAGCGCAACAAGGGAUCUCUAACCUUCAAACCGUUUGAGGGAGAAUACUCUAUUAUAUGAUUAAGAAUCUCUAGCUAGGGUAUGAAUGAGAUUUGGGAAGUCGUUCCAAAUCACAUUCAAGGUAAUCAUAUAAGUAAGAGAAUCACAUUGGAUAGUAGACAUGAAUAAACUAUCAAACCAAACAAUGCGGUCAAGAGUAUUGUCUUAGAGAAAUACCGUAUUGCAUUG